rnacentral:lncRNA from 10 species
CUCAAAGACAAAGCAGUUGAGUCUUAUUUUUACUCCAGUGUUCUUUUUGCCUGUAAUUGAAUAUCCUUUUAAGAAUUGAUUUUGAUGAAGGCUGUGUCAUUGAACAGAAGAUGAAAGGCAGAACUGAGAAGUCUCAUUGGCUGUGGAAGAGUUGGAGAAAGGGGCAGCUGUUGAAAGGUUGGGAUCUGAAAAGGAAAGCAGCUCAAGCCUUGGAGGCACUCCUACUUGGAGUAUGACUUCUGGCAACUUUCUAAAUGCUAUGAGCCUCGGUUUAUGUAUUCAUAAACUGCAAAUAAUAACACCUACCUCAAAUGGGCUCUGUGAGGAUUGUCAAGGCCAUUACGUGACAGCUGAAUAUCCAUAAUGAAAGGAAAGUGACCUGCAAACAUCCAGUCACAGGACAACCAUCACAGGACAAUUGUAUUUUU